rnacentral:rRNA from 1 species
GACGAACGCUGGCGGCGUGCUUAACACAUGCCGGUCGAACGGAAAGGCCCUGCUUUUGUGGGGUGCUCGAGUGGCGAACGGGUGAGUAACACGUGAGUAACCUGCCCUUGACUUUGGGAUAACUUCAGGAAACUGGGGCUAAUACCGGAUAGGAGCUCCUGCUGCAUGGUGGGGGUUGGAAAGUUUCGGCGGUUGGGGAUGGACUCGCGGCUUAUCAGCUUGUUGGUGGGGUAGUGGCUUACCAAGGCUUUGACGGGUAGCCGGCCUGAGAGGGUGACCGGCCACAUUGGGACUAAGAUACGGCCCAGACGCCUACGGGAGGCAGCAGUGGGGAAUAUUGCACAAUGGGCGGAAGCCUGAUGCAGCAACGCCGCGUGCGGGAUGACGGCCUUCGGGUUGUAAACCGCUUUCGCCUGUGACGAAGCGUGAGUGACGGUAAUGGGUAAAGAAGCACCGGCUAACUACGUG